CAGAAUUUUAUUUCUCACAGCCUGUGUGUUAGGCCAUGUGCAUUCAGGAGUGAGACAUGUAUCAUCUAGAGGCUCUCCCCACCUACCUGCUCCUUCCUCAUUAUCCUUUAGAGACCUUAUCCCAGCCCGCAGUGAAGAAGGAUCAUCUGAACACAGCCAGAAGGUGACUCUCUCCAAGCCUGGAAAGCAGGCUCUCACUAGGAACUAAGUCUAUGGGCACCUUAAUCUUGGACCACCUAGGUUCUAGAACAGUGAGAAAUAAAUUUCUC